UACGUAGGGGGGCGAGCGUUGUCCGGAUUUAUUGGGCGUAAAGGGCGUGUAGGCGGCUAAGUAAGUCGGGGGGUGAAAACUCGAGGCUCAACCUCGAGACUGCCUCCGAAACUGCGUAGCUUGAGUAUCCUAGAGGGUAGUGGAAUUGCCGGUGUAGCAGUGAAAAUGCGUAGAGAUCGGCAGGAACACCAGUGGCGAAGGCGCUACCUGGGGGGAAAACUGACGCUGAGGCGCGAAAGCUGGGGGGAGCAAACGGGG
rnacentral:rRNA from 1 species